CAGUCGAGCGCCCCGCAAGGGGAGCGGCAGACGGGUGAGUAACACGUGGGAACGUACCCUUUGGUUCGGAACAACCCAGGGAAACUUGGGCUAAUACCGGAUAAGUCCGUAAGGAGAAAGAUUUAUCGCCAAAGGAUCGGCCCGCGUCUGAUUAGCUAGUUGGUAGGGUAAUGGCCUACCAAGGCUACGAUCAGUAGCUGGUCUGAGAGGAUGAUCAGCCACAUUGGGACUGAGACACGGCCCAAACUCCUACGGGAGGCAGCAGUGGGGAAUAUUGGACAAUGGGCGCAAGCCUGAUCCAGCCAUGCCGCGUGAGUGAUGAAGGCCUUAGGGUUGUAAAGCUCUUUUAGCGGGGAAGAUAAUGACGGUACCCGCAGAAAAAGCCCCGGCUAACUUCGUGCCAGCAGCCGCGGUAAUACGAAGGGGGCUAGCGUUGCUCGGAAUCACUGGGCGUAAAGCGCACGUAGGCGGCUUCUUAAGUCAGGGGUGAAAUCCUGGAGCUCAACUCCAGAACUGCCUUUGAUACUGAGAAGCUUGAGUCCGGGAGAGGUGAGUGGAACUGCGAGUGUAGAGGUGAAAUUCGUAGAUAUUCGCAAGAACACCAGUGGCGAAGGCGGCUCACUGGCCCGGUACUGACGCUGAGGUGCGAAAGCGUGGGGAGCAAACAGGAUUAGAUACCCUGGUAGUCCACGCCGUAAACGAUGGAUGCUAGCCGUUGGCGAGCUUGCUCGUCAGUGGCGCAGCUAACGCUUUAAGCAUCCCGCCUGGGGAGUACGGUCGCAAGAUUAAAACUCAAAGGAAUUGAC
rnacentral:rRNA from 1 species